UCCAAGAUAAGCUUAGAGUCCCCGCUUCAAGCAUUUCUUAUAAUACAGCUUUUAAUAUUAUGGUUUAGAUGUUUCAAUAAUCAUGUCUUGUUGAGCUGAGUUUAAUAUGAGUCUUCACUUAUGGUACUGCUUUAGAAUGCAUAGAAACCAGAUUUUAAUAAAACUUUACUGUCUGAUUUAUUUUCAAUUUCAAAGUAGUGCCUGGCCAUGGUAUAUUUCAAAUAAAUACAACCCAGUGGUCCAGAAGUGCAAUGAAAAAGCAAAGGAUUCUUUAUCCUCGCAGGGUACAACUGCGUUUGAUGCUUUCCACAAGCUUCCAAUCUGUUUCUGAAAUAGGAUGUGUAGCACAAUUAAAAUUGGAAACAUUAGCAAGAUUAGUGAAGUAAUCCCUUAAGUAGUUAUUUUGUUUCCUUUCUAACCUGAUUAUUACCUGUCACAGCAGUGCCAUCCACAACUUGUGCAAUAUUCUUCCUGAGAACUUUGCCAUGAAAGUUGGCAGAGCUUCCUGACAGACCAUCUUGCCUUCGAUUUGAUUGACAGCAAGAGAAGGAAGUGGAUCUUGGAGUAGAAUCUACAGCUACUACUUUACUAAGCUGGCGUAACUCACGACUAAAUAUUUGUUCUUAUACCCACAGAUGAGUAUAAUCCUCACCCCUAAUAAAGGAAACUUCUUUUUUGCAAUAGAUGGAGACCAUUACAAAAAAAAAAAGAACAACAAAACAAAACAAACAACAACAAACCCCCCCAAACCAAAUAAACUACAGCCAGUCAAAAUGCUGAGAUUUGAGGCCUAGUCCCAAAGGAUACCUCUACAAGACCACUCCCACACCUAAGACCACUCCCACACCUAAGACCACUCCCACACCUAAGACCACUCCCACACCUAAGGCUCAAGAAGGCAUUAAACGGGACAGAAAUGUUGUAGGAGCCAGAGGAUGAGGAUGCCUGUCCUGAGACCGUGUUUUCUAGUAAUAACAGAAGCUACUUCUAUAAACUCUCACCAACGGCACUGCCUCAGCAUGAGCUGGGCAGGGAGAAUGACGAUAGACAUGUCAAAGUCGACAUGGGAAAGCCCAUGAGGCCUCAACCCAGCACAGGAGCUCCAGGUGACUAAGGAAUGCUGAGAGCCGAGAGCGGGAGAAAGUAGCGCUCCCCAGGGAGGAGCACAGCAAUUGCCUAUCCUAUGCCAAGUCAAGUCGGCCCUGAAAACGUACACACACACAAACCCUGUACAGACUGAGCAUGGUAUAGUUAGGAAUAUGUACAUCACGCACAUUAACAUAAACAUGUAUGUAGAUACAUGUGAAAGACAGCAAGGAAGAGCAUAUGGGAGGGAUCAGAAGGAGGAAAUCAUGUAUUUAUAUUUUAUCUCAAAGGUAAAGGACAUAAUUUUUAAAAAAUUGUGUUUUAUAUCCUUUGCUUCAAAGGGACCCCACACAAGCUCAUGGACUCCUUCAGUUAUUUCCUGCUCUUGUCGCCGGCCUGGGGCUCUUGGAUGUCAGGAAUCACGUCUUCCUUAAAUUG
rnacentral:lncRNA from 1 species